GGCCGCCUGGCGAAAUGGCAUCGCGUCUGACUACGAUAAGGAAGGAAUCAGGAGAUUGCAGGUUCGACCCCUGCGGUGGUCA